GUGCCGCAUGGCACAGCAGGGAAAACCACGGUGGUACAGGAUGGGCCCGCGUCUGAUUAGUUAGUUGGCAGGGUAACGGCCUACCAAGACGAUGAUCAGUAGCCGGCUUGAGAGAGUGGACGGCCACAUUGGGACUGAGACACGGCCCAGACUCCUGCGGGAGGCAGCAGUGGGGAAUAUUGCACAAUGGGGGGAACCCUGAUGCAGCAAUGCCGCGUGGGUGAAGAAGCACUCCGGUGCGUAAAGCCCUGUCAGCAGGGAAGAAAAUGACAGUACCUGACCAAGAAGCCCCGGCUAACUACGUGCCAGCAGCCGCGGUAAUACGUAGGGGGCAAGCGUUAUCCGGAUUUACUGGGUGUAAAGGGAGCGCAGGCGGUAUGGCAAGUCAGAUGUGAAAACCCAGGGCUCAACCCUGGGACUGCAUUUGAAACUGCCAUACUGGAGUGCCGGAGAGGUAAGUGGAAUUCCUAGUGUAGCGGUGAAAUGCGUAGAUAUUAGGAGGAACACCAGUGGCGAAGGCGGCUUACUGGACGGUAACUGACGCUGAGGCUCGAAAGCGUGGGGAGCAAACAGGAUUAGAUACCCUGGUAGUCCACGCUGUAAACGAUGAAUACUAGGUGUCGGGG
rnacentral:rRNA from 1 species